UACAGAGGUCUCAAGCGUUGUUCGGAUUCAUUGGGCGUAAAGGGUGCGUAGGCGGCGCGGUAAGUCGGGUGUGAAAUCUCGGGCUUAACUCCGAAACUGCAUUCGAUACUGCCGUGCUUGAGGACUGGAGAGGAGACUGGAAUUUACGGUGUAGCGGUGAAAUGCGUAGAUAUCGUAAGGAAGACCAGUGGCGAAGGCGGGUCUCUGGACAGUUCCUGACGCUGAGGCACGAAGGUCAGGGGAGCAAACGGG
rnacentral:rRNA from 1 species